AAUACAGCUGUCAGAUAGAACGUCUGCUACAAUGAAGAUCGACAAUGUAACGCAUAAGCACAUUUAAAUGAUAUCUUCACAGAAGAAUUGAAUACCAUAUGGAAAGCUGACAUCAAGCAGCAAUUAGAACGACAAGACAAAACAUGAUGGACCACUAUUAAGUAAAUGAGUACAACAUAUAUUAAUAUGUGAAGAGACUUUUAGCACCAACCUGAACAACAAAACAAACAUGAAUUAUAUAUGUAGAUUUUGAAAUUUAACAAAGACCAAGAUGUGAAGAGACUUUAAGCACCAACCUGAACAACAAGACAAAAAUGAAUUAUAUAUGUAGAUUUUGAAAUUUAACAAAGACCAAGAUGUGAAGAGACUUUUAGCACCAACCUGAACAACAAAACAAACAUGAAUUAUAUAUGUAGAUUUUGAAAUUUAACAAAGACCAAGAUGUGAAGAGACUUUUAGCACCAAC